CGUAGUACGCCCUGCGGCGUUGUGCGCAGGCGCAGAAGCUACAUCGGGAACUGUAGUUUCUUAAGACCCGAAGGAGGGUCAACACCGCUGCCAAUCAACUACGAAUCCCUUCGGCCAGUGCGAAGAAGGGCGGGUUCCUGAUGGUUAUUGCUGAAGGUCAUCUUGCAAUCAUAAUAAGAACCACAAGGGCUGGUCCAGCCACAACGAAGUUGGUAGGAUUGCGUGAUUGCCCUUGCAAUUAACUGAGGGGAAUGUCUUCACCUGCAACGUGCUUCCUAACAGCCUAACUCACUCAGCCACGCAAGCUAAUGGGGGACAGCUUGAUCCAGACUUCAGAGAAACCACAACAGCUCACGUAUGGACAGUGUUCACGCCUGUUGCCUGUGGGCCCCUCAGAAGGAUCACCAGAGACAUUCAAACUGCAAACCAGGAAAAUCUGCCAGAUUGCCGCUGCCUGCCCUCCCUCCUUGUGAAGACAUUUCGAGCCCGAGUUGUGAAGACCUAGAAGUCUCCUCCACUGGCUGCCCUCAGAGCUCAGUCUGCACCAGACAUUCAUCUUUGUGGUACUGUGUCACAUCAUCGCAAGAAGUAGGCUGAGUAUAGUACAAUGAGGUAUUCUAAGAGAGAGGCCACAUUCACAUAACUCUUUUUUAAAAAAUAUUUUAUUUAUUUAUUUGAGAGAGAGUGAGCACAAGCAUCAGUGGGGGAGGGGCAGAGGGAGAGGGAGAAGCAGACUUCCCCAUGAGCAGGGGGCCGGAUUC